rnacentral:misc_RNA from 1 species
UUGUAGAACUUGUAACUGGGUAUAUUUACCCGUAAUAAAUAAAUAAAAAUAAAAGUUUAGCAUGGGAUAGCAACGGUGUACAGGUAUCGAUGGAGAAAACUCCUAUCGAAGUACAGAGUCUGUAUCGAUAACACUCACGUCUGUAGAUCCCGUUAUUCACAGCACAGGCAUCAUCACAGCCAAGGUCUUUUGAGUUCCGACAAUAAAGCCCGUCGACGUAUCGCCCGCACUUCAAUCGGCCACCUACCUCGUUGGUAAGACAUCACUCCGACACUCACCAGGUAAAAUUUAAAAGAAAAAAUGCCUCUUCAACUCCAAAAACCUGCACCCCAGUUCAGCACUGUCGCAGUUGUCAACAAAGAAUUCAAAGAAGUUUCGUUGAAAAGUUAUGAGGGGCAAUACGUCGUCUUAUUUUUCUACCCACUCGACUUCACUUUCGUAUGCCCGACAGAACUCAUCGCAUUUUCUGACCGACUCGCUGAUUUUGAGAAAUUGAAUUGCGUCGUUCUCGCUAUUUCCUGUGAUUCUCAGUUCAGCCAUUUGGCCUGGAUCAACACGCCGAGGGAGGAAGGUGGCCUAGGUGACAUAAAGCUUCCACUUCUUGCUGACAAAACAGGAAAGAUUGCCAGGGAUUUCAACGUUUACAAUGAAGAGACAGGAAUUCCAUUCCGUGGGCUUUUCAUUAUCGAUAAGGCUCAGAAUCUAAGGCAGAUCACUGUCAAUGACUUGCCAGUCGGAAGGGACGUCGAUGAAGUCCUCCGUCUUGUUCAAGCAUUCCAGUUUACUGAUACUCAUGGAGAAGUCUGCCCAGCCAACUGGAAGCCUGGAUCAAAGACCUUGGCACCGACAGCUAACGGAAUCAAGAGCUACCUUAAAACAGGUGUCCGCUUUUUGAGGGAUGUAAACACAGAAGAGAUUACAGUUUAAUUCUUGAUUAAAAACCACGGUUUUUUAUUUUUGUAUUGUUUAAAUUUCAAGCAUGAAAUAAUGUUGAAAGCCAAAUGGAGUCGAGGAAAAUAAGAGGACUAGGCCUGAAGGUGUCGAGAAAAACUUAAUAAAAAAGCCUAAAGU